rnacentral:lncRNA from 1 species
AAAUAAUAGAAAAGGGAAUGACGAUUCUCUCUCAUGGGGGGCUCGCUCUCUCACGUUCUCUCGCUCUCUCAAAUACUGGGACGCUGAUUCUCUCUGAAGGGAGGGCUCUGGAUCACGAACUCUGGUUCUCCAGAGGGGAUUCUCUCUUUCUGGGACUCUCUCUCUCUCUGCGGUUCUCGUCGAAGGUUAGGGUUUUUCCUCCGUCGGUGCGGGAUUGGAGGUGUUUCCUCUAUUCGGUGAGGAGUUUGCUCGGGGGAUCCGGUUUCCGAAACUGAUUGGCGUCGGUAGCAGCGACGGCAGCAACGGCGGAGCUUGAUUCGACCUCUCUCGUUCGUUAUUAACCGCCUGCUCGCCUCGGUUCUGACUCCGUGCUCCGAGCUCCGAGGAUAGAGAUCCGAAGCUUGAUCGACGGCGGCGACGACAGCGGCUUCCGAUCAUCUUCUUGUUCAUCAUCUAUCGUCGGGACUCCCUCAAACCUUAGAAGACAGAGCAAUUGCCGAUUGAAGAGUUGGAAGUGCGAGGCUCGGAUCUGCACCGCCUUCAGAGAAGGCUCAACAACGAUUUCCCUCUUAAUCGAGUCAUUUCCGAGGGUUUUUCCUCUCAGAUCUCGGCAAGUUUCAUUCAGAUUAUUGAUUUGUUUUCUCUAGUAAUUUUUUUUUCUAGAGUCAUCUCAAUCCUCCCUCCCCUGCCGUUUUCUUUUGUUGACACUGAGCAUGUAUUUCCUCUCGCCGAUUCACCCAUUGAAAUUGCCGGCCAUUCAUUGCAGUCGCCGAUUCAAUCAAAAUCUCACAAGGAGUUUGGAUCAGUCAUUACUCGAAGAACAGCUUCAAUCAUCUGAAGACAGACGCAGCAAAGCAGAGACAAUUUUUUUCAGAGUUCUUGAAGAGGCUGACUGAUAAAGUUGUUGAGGUAUGAAUAUCUGUACUUGAAUAUGUCAAGAACUUCCUGCUGUGAAAUCCUUCUAGAGCUUAAUCUCCUCAAAUAAUUGAUGCCUUAUGCGAUUGACUGCUGGAUUAUGAUGAAAACGUGAGAAAGCAAGUUGUCACUGUUAUUUGCAAGUGUGGCUUACUUGACUUUUGUUCAACUUGACCUUCUGUUGAAUAUAACUACUAUAUUUUUCUCUUUUCAAAAGACUAAAAAAAAAACCAUUUAUACCUGUUCAUACUGUUCCUCAGUGGCAAGCAACCAUUCGAUCAUACUCAUACCAAAUGUUUGACCCUACUCAGUUAGUCUUCGCAAGCUGCAGAUAGCGUUAUUUGUCUACUGCGUUUUUUCAUCUGGUUUAACUGGCAAAUCAAGAACAAAUUCCAACGGGUCCUUUCUAAUGAAGAGUUGUCCUAGUAACAAAUAUUAAAAAGGUGCUAUGGUCUCGUUCCCCCUUUAGUUUUUAUGUUUCCAUCAGUGUAAAUCAAGCUGCGCAAGCUAGACAUGCACCAGAAGAAAGUUGAUUCAUUUUAGUAGAAAUUGGUCCUCUGUUGCUGCUGUGUUCAUCUUUUUUUAGAAUUCCUUGUUCAUAAUAUUGAAUGUGUUCUUUGCCUGAAAGUUGUGAGUUCAUUGGUACACUUCAAUCUGGAUUGAUGUCUGGUAUUUUGCCCUUUGAUGAGUUUGUAGUUGUCGGUAGACCGGUAUGAGUUGUGCCUGAAGUUCACCUUAGUGGAGAAACAUUUCCUCAGCAGCAAAUGAUUUUAUAUCAGGAAAGGAUUUUAUAUCCUUGGUGCAUGUUGGAUGAUCUGGGAAUCUGGUUCAGCUUUUGUUAGGGCCAGUAACAGCAAUGAUGUUUGAGUUUGUCAAAGAAAUACCUAAACCUGAAACUAAAUGGAGGCUGGACUUCAUCUCUCUUUUAGGCGUAUUUUUCUUUACAUGGGUUAUCAUUCAAUUACUUCCUGUUGUCUUGAUAGAUCUGGCUUAUGAGAAAGAAUAGAUACUUGGGAGUAUGAUGAAAAUAUGUGGGUUUAGUGAUCCAUAUUGGCUGAUUUCCUAUGCUUAUUUUCUCUCUUUAUCUUCAAUCUACAUGCUGUGCUUUGUGACUUUUGGCUUAGUCAUAUAUAGUUAAUCCCUAUUGCGUUAUGUUUACCUACGUUCCAAUGUCCCAUUAAAGUUGCAAUGCUUGUGUCUUACUGCACUUCCUCUGUAAAGUUUUACUAGAAUGAGAUUAUGUGUGCUUUUAGUGAGUUAAAUGCAGAUCACGUGCAAUUGAUGUUUGUUGUUCAUGUGUGAAUUUGCUGAUAUUGAAAGUUGGAAUUUGUCUUGGUCUAGAAUGCAUGCUUUGUUUCUAUAACCUCGAAUACUUGUGAAUUUGGUACGAAUUUUUUGUGUGAGGAGUUUGGGAUUAGGUCCUUCACAUAAAAACUGCAAAAAAUGAUUGUAUGUUUGCCUUGCUGCUCUGUUCUACUUUUGAUGGACCUUGAUCUCUUCCAGGAUUUUGUAAAUUCACGUGCUUUUUUGUUACAAUAUAUAAUGAAAUGCUCAAGUUAGAUCAGAGUUGGCUUUCGAAUGUCUUUUGACCGUUGAUCGGUAGAUAUAAUUGAUUCAUGUCUGAAAUUGAACCAUUGAUGAAAUAAGUUUUGCCAUGGUCAAGGAGUCAUAUGGAUCUUCAUGCCUAUUUGUUUGUCGUCUGAACAUGUAUUGUUAUGUCCUGUUUUGAUAAAGAAAGGUAAAUAAAACAGCAUGUUCUAGAUUAAAAUCAAAUUAGUGCUGUUCAAGUUUCCAUCAGUGAUUGCAGACAUUUGGAAACUCAUUAUGCCUUUGUUCCGCUCCUCAGUGACCUGCAUUACUUGCUGAUUUUCUGUUUCUUUCGCUGAUCUAACCUUCUGUGCAAAUGAAUUGAUAUGAGCUGAUUGUUGUGGUUUUCUGUGUUUGAUGUCCUCAUGAAAGUCGAAGAUGGUUUGAUUAGCUUUCUAACGAGCUAUAAUACACCCUGAUCCGAUAUCAUUAGCCACAUGAAAUCUUCUUUAAAAGUCUACUCCAGAAGAAGUCUACUCCAGAAUUUGGAAAGUUGUUCUGGUCUGUGCGGUUAUUUCUGUUACUGAUCUGACCUCUUUGCUAAAUGUCUUCGUUUGAGCUAGAAAAUGAUUUCAAUUGUGUUCGUGACCUUCUAAGGAUUCAUAGGAGGCUUCUCAAAAUUUCCAUUGACAUAUUAUAUGUGUGAUUUGGUCAUCACUUGCCCUGCCUUUCCUUUUUUCAAAUCGAGCUUUGAAAUCUGGAAUUUGUCUUGAACUGCAAUGCUGUCUUUUCUGUGGCUAGUUGUUGUUAGUCUUAAGAUGAGAUAGUAGAUUUGUCCAAAUUGUUUUCAAUAUGUUGUAGAAUGACGGUGUGACAUGCUACUAUGAUCUAUUCUUGAUUGACUUGUUCAUGUUCUUAAUAUUUUUAGAAAUUCAUGCGUUAGGAAUCUUGAGGUGCUUCCUUCAUGGAAUGACAUCCUUUAUCAAUUGUCUACAAAACGGUUUUAGGUACCAUGUGGGUUACACAUUGAUUGCUCCGUUUGCCUUUAAUACAUAUGUUGAGUGAAUUCAAUGGUGUAUGUUUUGGAAUAAGUGAUCUUUAGUUGGUUCAUUCAUUGUUUUGGGUUGAUUGAGGACCAAGGUCAUGUGGCUUGAAUGUUUGUCAUGUUAUAUGCUUUGUGUGUGAUCGUUAGAUAGAUGAUUUAGGUGUAAUACAUAAUGAUGCUAAAUCUUGGGAUUUCACUUAGAAUUUGGUGUAAGGACUUCAUGACUUUAGUCACCAUUUUUGAACACUAAUAAUGUCCUGUUCUUUGAUGUUUUGAUAUGUUUGUUUGUUCCCUUCCACUGCAUAUACCAAGUUAUAGGUUUAUUAGAUUAGGUUUAGAUUAGGAUCCCGAAGAUGGAGAAGGCGUGAAGAUGGUGAAUGUCGAUUUCCACUCCGACUGUUAUCAUGUAAUGCUCAUUUUCCCGACAUAUGUCUCGGGUUUUAUGCAUUGUAUAAAGCCCGACGAGUUGCGGGUUUCCUUUCUUUCUCGAUUGUUUUCUCUUUUAUAUACUUUAGAAUUACAUGAUUAGGUUUACUGAUUUCUCUUGAUUGUUUACUUCAUGUCUUGUGCUUUCAAUUUCAUUGAUUGUUUUCUUUUCAUUUUUUAGAAAUAGAAUAGAAUGAAAGUAAUCCACCACGCAUGAUCACUUAGUCUAGGAAUUGAUGAUCCUGAAAAAUGUAAAAAGAAACACAUGGACAUGUUAGGAAAAACACAACAUACUGUUUAGGUACCGAAAGGGCGCUAAUAGCAAUAUUAGCGUAACCCAAGUCCCCGAACCUAGAUAUCUGGUUGCGUAGGAAUCGAUGGAACACUCUCGACCCUCGAUUGGGUUUCUAGCUGACCCCGAAAGUUGAGGCUAGUGGCGACUCCUGUAUAUUCUUAGGUUGUUAAAUACCUAGAUCGCAUAAUAAACCUACUGUCACGCGGGGUACGAGCUUCGGAGAGCUCGCGAUCUUGAGAUCAAGUAUCCCUAAACCCGACCUUUCCCAACCUUGGAUACUUUUCGAGAGGGGCGGCGAGAUCGGGUCGCGACAAGUACAACCACUUAGCCGUAAAUAUCCACCAAACUACACGAUGCGUCAGACAGAACAAUCAAGGUAUCACGAAUAAAACACAUACCAUCCAUGCAUUUGAACAUACCUCACCAUACAGCCAUGCAUAUAUCACCAUACAACGUGCAUAUACCACCAUGCACUUGUACAUAUAUCAUCAAGCAGCCAAGCAUAUAUCACCAUGCAACGUGCAUAUACCACCAUGCACUUGUACAUAUAUCAUCAAGCAGCCAAGCAUAUAUCACCAUGCAAUGUGCAUAUAUCACAAUGCAUUUGUACAUAUACCAUCAAGUAGCCAUGCAUAUAUCAUCAUGCAACGUGCAUAUACCACCAUGCACUUCAUGCUUGCAUUUCCAUGAGGUUCAUCCCAUGCCAUAUGCAUACAUCCAUAUGUAUGAUUCAAUUUCAAUUCUUUCUUUUACAUGGAUUUCAUCAUUUUUCUUUCAAGGGACCAGUGUUUGCAUCCCACAUUUAUUGCUCGCAUCCAACCUGGCGUUAUGAGGAGCCUCCAGCACACACUUCCGGGCAUCUCGUAUCCCACCUGGCAUCACGGGGAAUCUCCGAGGUUCGCUAUGAAAAUGGUUACCCCUACCCUUUGGGCAUGCAUCAUAAUACAACCCCUCACCCUCCAGGCAUGUAUCAUAAUACAAUCGGGCAUCCUAACACUCCCGGGAAAAACCUCUGGGCAUGUAUUCAUAAUACAACCAGGCAUCCAAAGGGCAUCAACUCAUUCAAACCUUUGGGCAUCCAGACUCCCGGGAUAUCGUCGGCUCACACCUCCGACGGUAUCAUCAUUAUCACAAUCUAUAUUCACAUAUAUGUCUCAUUUUCAACAUGGCAUUUGAUGCAAAAAUAUCAUAGGUCUAAACCAGCUUUUUGAUGUCAUAUGGUAUGCCAAACAUCACCAUAUAAGCAGUACACAUAACACCCAUGAUAUCAUAUUUCAUAAAGCAGUUCAUUGGUUUUUGAAAAUAGAACCAAUUUUCGGGUAAAACAGAAUGC